UCUUCACUUCCAGGUCUUGUAUGGCCAAUCUUCUCUCUGGCUUUUCAGGGGUACUUUUGUUUUACUCUUGACUUCUGUGAGCCUCAGUUUCUUCAUCUGUAGACUAUAAGUGACACCAAUACCCACCUCACAGAGUCCAGACUUCACUCACUGACAUCAGAAGUUUCCGUAAUUAUUAGUUUCUGGGCAUCUAUGGCUUGAUUCCGACAUCGUCUUCUCCACCUAUUGGGUACUAUGCUCACUACCCCGGUGAUGGAUUCAUUCGUAUUCCAGGCUUCGGCAUCACACAAUAUCUUCGUGACAAACCUGCAUUUCUAUCCCCUAAGCUUGUGUUCCCAGUGGUCAUGUGAAUAAGCAGCACGGGAAGCAGCCACCAGUUACCAGUGUUCAACUCUGCUCCAAACAUCUGAAAUGAAUGUUCAGAGUGUUCCACAAGGCUCUUCACUCUGGCUAGGCCCAGGGUCUAACAGCUAUCAGCACUGUUUAGUCUCUGAAAUCACCCUUAAUAAUGAUGGUUUCAUCACUUCUCUUAUUUUAUUUGUGCAGGUGAUCAUUAAAAUUAAGCUCUUGAUUAAAAUUACUUAGGGUAAUUUAUCUCAGGCUGCAUUCUCACUUAACAAAUGAAGAGAUCCAUAAAUACUGAUGAGGCUGGUUUUCACCAUGCUUCGUAAUUCCUGUUUGGAAUGCUCAUCACUUCUCUUCACAUGGCUGGUUUCUUCUCAUCUCUUUAAGUCUCAGCUUAUUCACCUUCUCUGAGUGGCCUUGGAUGAAGGAUUUAAGAACCCUCUCCUUAGAAAAUUAUAAGUACUUUCUCCUCUCUUUGAAAUGCAUAUAUAUCUUGUUGAAAACUAGACAGGUCUUUUGUCAGCUUUAUGACUCAGGAAUGUCUUUCUCCAGGAUCUGUGAAACGUCUCUUUUGGUUCUGCCAGAGGAUACGAGCCUAACCAGGCGCCUUGUGCCCAGGCAAAACUACCUCCUGUCAUAAGAUAUGAGAAGUUUGUUUCUCCUCUGGAUAAAGCCAAUUAGCUAACACAGGUGGUCACUCCAAUUGCCGGGUGAAUCUAAGAUGAAAUGAGUGACAGUUGGUGCUGGCAAAUCCUCAGGCUUGACAACCAGUUAUUGUUUAUAUUGAGAACAUGUGUGCAGUGGGUUGUCUCUAUUACUUGACUGUCUAAAGGGUGAGUGUUCUCUCAAACCUCUUAGUGAUUGCCUGUGAUGCACAUCACAUAACUGCUUUUGUUUUGUUUUGUUUUGUUUUUUGUUUUUUUCC
rnacentral:lncRNA from 10 species